UCCCCCGCAAGGGGGCAGUCUCGCCUGAAAAGUAACAGACAACGAGGGUUGCGUUCGUUACCCCACUGAAGGGAACAGCUCAAGCCACGAACUGACGACAACCAUGCAUCACCUGUGCAGCACCUUCGAAAGCUUCUCUCUUUUCGGAGAGCGUGCAGCUGCAUUUCUAGCCCGGGUAAGGUUCUUCGCUUGUCGACGAAUUAAGCCACAUGAUCCACUGCUUGUGCGAGUCCCCGUCUAUUCCUUUGAGUUUUAAUCUUGCGAUCGUACUACCCAGGCGGCUCGCUUACCGCGUUAGCUUAGUCCCACAGAGGGUCGAUACUCCGUAGAACGAGCGAGCAGCGUUUAGGGCCAGGACUAC
rnacentral:misc_RNA from 1 species